rnacentral:misc_RNA from 1 species
UCAAACUUGGUCAUUUAGAGGAAGUAAAAGUCGUAACAAGGUCUCCGUAGGUGAACCUGCGGAGGGAUCAUUACCGAGUUGCCGCCCUCGUGGCGGACCUCCCACCCGUUGUGAUUGCUACAAUCGUUGCUUUGGCGGGCCGCCAGGCCUGGCCUGGCCGCCAGCCCCGUGUUGGCGUGCGCCCGCCAGAGACCCUUUAAACUCUGAGGUCGUGUCGUCCGAGUCCUUUUUGAAUCGUUAAAACUUUCAACAACGGAUCUCUUGGUUCUGGCAUCGAUGAAGAACGCAGC